rnacentral:lncRNA from 1 species
CUGCCCUGUCCCGCCCGAGAUGAAGCUGGGCACCUGUAACGCACAUGGAAGUCCGUGCUUGGAGCAGUGCACGUUCUGUGUGCCUGUCCCAUUUACAGGUGAGGACUGAAGCUCAGGGGAGGGAUAUGGCCCAUCGUGUUCACAGGGAGGCACAGCAGAAGAGAUCAGAUGCAUGCUGUUAACAUCAGGCAAACAAAC